rnacentral:tRNA from 1 species
GGGCUUGUAGCUCAGUUGGUUAGAGCGCGUCACUGAUAAUGACGAGGUCGGAGGUUCAAGUCCUCCCAAGCCCACCA